GACGAACGCUGGCGGCGUGCCUAAUACAUGCAAGUUGAGCGCUGAAGGUUGGUACUUGUACCAACUGGAUGAGCAGCGAACGGGUGAGUAACGCGUGGGGAAUCUGCCUUUGAGCGGGGGACAACAUUUGGAAACGAAUGCUAAUACCGCAUAAAAACUUUAAACACAAGUUUUAAGUUUGAAAGAUGCAAUUGCAUCACUCAAAGAUGAUCCCGCGUUGUAUUAGCUAGUUGGUGAGGUAAAGGCUCACCAAGGCGAUGAUACAUAGCCGACCUGAGAGGGUGAUCGGCCACAUUGGGACUGGGACACGGCCCAAACGCCUACGGGAGGCAGCAGUAGGGAAUCUUCGGCAAUGGACGAAAGUCUGACCGAGGAACGCCGCGUGAGUGAAGAAGGGUUUCGGAUCGUAAAACUCUGUUGGUAGAGAAGAACGUUGGUGAGAGUGGAAAGCUCAUCAAGUGACGGUAACUACCCAGAAAGGGACGGCUAACUACGUG
rnacentral:rRNA from 1 species